UUGUAUGGACGUAAGCCCUGACUGCUUAUUCCAAGCAGCAACCAUGUCCUGCAAUCCUCACAUCCAGACAAUGGUCACCACAAGGAAGCAAUCAGACUCUCCCAAGUGAAACAAGCAGAGUACUAUAACAGAAAGGCAAGUAAAUCUGACACAAGACCAUUACUUGUCGAGGAGCCAGUAUAUUUGUACAAUACGCACAAAAGAAUGUGGGACAAGAGUGAAAUCACAAGGGGACCAAACCCUAUAAGCGAACCAAGGACAUAAGUUGUCGAAAUGAACGGUAAGCUCUACCAGAGAACCAGAGAACAUCUAAGACYGAGAACAAGCCAGCUAAAGAACCAGAAAGAAGGGACUACCAAGAAACCCAACCUGCACUUAACAUACAUCAUCCCCAAGACCUACUUGGUAAACCAGCGUUAUUGGUACAAGAAAGACCACAAGAUGACUGAAGCUACCAGAAGCCGAGAUGUACCUUUAAGUGAUUAUAAACCAAAGGAGCAGAACAAUCAAUCAGCAAGCUAUACCGGCACUAGAUAUGGGCGUACAAUCAAAGCUCCUAUUAGACUACGUUUGUAAAGAGUUGAUACAAAAAAAAGCAUAUAACCUGUCUAUAUAAGUUGACAUUGAACAUUUACAUAUGUUGAUCAACACCAAUUAACCAUAAGAUUGAUGAACAUUGAACAAUUGAACACAAAGAGGGGGAUGUCAUAGCACCCCACACAUGGACAUCGGUAUGMUGUAAAUUCAAUGCAAGCCAUGGCUCGAACCRAACGCGACAAUAUGUACAGCAUGAUUCCAGAAUAAAAAUACAUCUAAACCAACCCAAGAGACUUUGACACACAUAUUUGCUGUUAGUCCCAGAGGUCAAGCACCAGGCGCACUUCAGCGAGAUCCUUUGAAGGUUUGUUGCAUAUCACUACUUCUCCUGAUAAAUGGCGUUCAUGCUUAGGGUCUCAUUUUUUUUCUACUUGUCAGGCAAAAGUCAACAUUGCUGAGCCCUCAGCGAGAACUGCAAGGAGUUGAAAAUGAAAUGAAGGCCAUUUGAGAUGAUAGCUGUUGGAUUUGUGACUGGUGAAUUCAACUUGAUAUGGACACAAGGGACAAAUAGGCCUGUGAACAUAAUACACAUUAUCAUGGAUGCAACAUCCGAGGCCAAAAAAAUUGCCAGUACACCAGAUUGAAUUGUAUUUAAAACCCCUGCACAUUGGUGGAACCAUUCUCAUAGAAGACAUCCACUUUCUUGAAAACACUUUGGCAGCAAAUUGGCUAUCUUUUCAAGAUGCACUUGUUUCUCUACAAAGAACCAAGUACCAACGAUAUUAUAACCCUUAUCCUCAGGUAGCUGGUGCUGGUAAGCUAAUACUUUGUUAAUUUUCAUCUGACUAUCAAUCUUAAUGUAUGACAAAUCUCUGACUAUGAAAGAAAGGGCGUACUUUUGUGUUGCUAAACUGGAAAAAAGAUGUUUUUAUUUCAUUCAUUCCCAAAUGUACCUCACUCCUGAUGUUUUCAGGUACCUCACUCCUUAUAUUAUAAGGAGUGAAAGGCACUUUGAUACUUCAUUGGKUUUUUUUAGGUAACACUGAUAAAACUGAGGCAAAAGCAGACUUGCUGAAAUAUUUGAUGGCCAUGUAUUUUUAACACAAUAAAAUUUAGACAUACACCCUACAAGGAAUUAAUUUAAGAUAACAUCUGUAUGUCCCUGAGCAAGUUGAGGAUAAUGACGAACCACAACACAAAAAGGAAGACCAUAACCAUGUUCUUAGAGAUAUAGCCAUCAGUGUUAGAAAUGGUGCUGUGCCUGAUUUCAACCUAAGAGACCUUGUCCAAU